UAGUCCGCACGAGAGCACCCUUGCCAUUAGUUGCUACGAAAGGGCACUCUAAUGGGACUGCCGGUGACAAACCGGAGGAAGGUGGGGAUGACGUCAAGUCCUCAUGGCCCUUAUAGGUGGGGCUACACACGUCAUACAAUGGCUGGUACAAAGGGUUGCCAACCCGCGAGGGGGAGCUAAUCCCAUAAAGCCAGUCGUAGUCCGGAUCGCAGUCUGCAACUCGACUGCGUGAAGUCGGAAUCGCUAGUAAUCGUGGAUCAGAAUGUCACGGUGAAUACGUUCCCGGGUCUUGUACACACCGCCCGUG
rnacentral:rRNA from 1 species